rfam:Gossypium raimondii chromosome 6, whole genome shotgun sequence.
AUCCCAUGGUGAGGGCAUUUGUGUAACAGUUCUUUAAAUCACUCUCACACCUCAUAUAGGGAUUCAUCGUCCAUCUAUUGGAAAAUGGUAAUCUCGUUCCUCAACUU